rnacentral:lncRNA from 1 species
UAUAUGUUGUUCACUCUUCAGAAAAUUAAAGACUGAAGAGGUAUAUAUGCCGUUGAUUUACCUAGCCAGCCCAACUGCCAGAUGCUAGCUCAUAAGUCAUAACUAAACAUGUUUGGAUAGAGAUGAAGUUGAACUUGCAUAUACGUGGGCUAUUUAAGAUAACAUGUAAGAAACCGGUGGACAUACACCGAGUGCUAAAAACAGUUUCACCUAUACGGAACUAUAUGAACGAUUGAUUGAGAUGAAUGGGUGGUGGAUUGUUGGGGUACAAAAUAAACAUAUGGCCAGCCAUGCACUAUCCAUGCAAGGGCUAGCUGAUGCUAACAUGCAAGGUGAAAAUGCGUCGUUGAGGGUAUUGCCACUGAGACAUAAGGCUGACCACGCGCUAGACAUUGUGCAUGUACUACUAGUUAGCUAGGUUUGCUUGGAAGGCAUCAAGAAUAGGCGGUGUGCGAAAAUGUGUCAUCGAGGGUAUUGCCUACUGCAAUUCGCUGGGUCACACUGUCGUCGUUUGGCAGUCAUAAAAGCUUGAUCCAGGAGCGACGAGAAGAUAGGGAUGACUCUCGAUUGUCUUGUGUUUAUCCCCAUGCAUGGUCACCAUGACAU